CCUACGGGGGGCAGCAGUGAGGAAUAUUGGUCAAUGGACGAGAGUCUGAACCAGCCAAGUAGCGUGAGGGAUGAAUGCCCUAUGGGUUGUAAACUUCUUUUGUAAAGGAAUAAAACGAGGCACGUGUGCCUUUUUGCAUGUACUUUAUGAAUAAGCAUCGGCUAACUCCGUGCCAGCAGCCGCGGUAAUACGGAGGAUCCGAGCGUUAUCCGGAUUUAUUGGGUUUAAAGGGAGCGUAGAUGGGUUGUUAAGUCAGUUGUGAAAGGUUGCGGCUCAACCGGAACAUUGCAAUUGAUACUGGCAGUCUUGAGUUAAGAUGAGGUAGGCGGAAUUCGUGGUGUAGCGGUGAAAUGCUUAGAUAUCACGAAGAACCCCGAUUGCGAAGGCAGCUUGCUAGACUGUGACUGACACUGAUGCUCGAAAGCGUGGGUAUCGAACAGGAUUAGAUACCCGAGUAGUC
rnacentral:rRNA from 1 species